GUAACUAUGCACGUCUUGACGGUACCUAAUCAGAAAGCCACGGCUAACUACGUGCCAGCAGCCGCGGUAAUACGUAGGUGGCAAGCGUUAUCCGGAAUUAUUGGGCGUAAAGCGCGCGUAGGCGGUUUUUAAGUCUGAUGUGAAAGCCCACGGCUCAACCGUGGAGGGUCAUUGGAAACUGGAAAACUUGAGUGCAGAAGAGGAAAGUGGAAUUCCAUGUGUAGCGGUGAAAUGCGUAGAGAUUUGGAGGAACACCAGUGGCGAAGGCGACGCGGCCG
rnacentral:rRNA from 1 species